rnacentral:lncRNA from 1 species
AUGCCUCGACUAGAUAUUUCCACAUGAUCUAUUGUUAUCUUGUCAAUAAUCAUAACUUUAUUCUACAUUAUUCAGUUAAAACUACCAAAUUUCAUUUAUUACACACCCCCUACACAAAAAAUAAUCAAAAUACAAGAACAUUUAACCUCUUGAGAAUUAAAAUGAAUGAAAAUUUAUUCACCUCUUUUAUUACCCCAACAUUUCUAG